GGACAGAGCUGGAGGCAGUGUGGCGGGGGGUGUCUCAGACCUGCAAAAACCCAUCCCUACUGAACCUCCACCCAGAUAUGCAUCUGGGAAAGCAUUAGCAAGGCCCGGCCUUGAGUGCAGCGACGGGGCAGCCAUCUGCUUCGGAAGCUGUCAGCCCACCCUCUGGCUAGACCCUGUGGAGCACCCGGUGGUAUGACCUGAUGGAGUCUUGCUCUGUCGCCAGGCUGGAGUGCAGUGGCGCAAUCUCGUCUCACUGCAACCUCCGCCUCCUGGGUUCAAGCGAUUCACCUGUCUCAGCCUCCUGAGUAGCUGGGAUUACAGGCACGUACCACCACGCCCAGCUAAUUUUUGUAUUUUUAGUACAGUUGGGGUUUCACCAUGUUGGCCACACUGGUCUCGAACUCCUGACCUCAGGUAAUCCGCCCUCCUCAGUCUCCCAAAAUGCGGGGAUUACAGGCGUGAGCUACCGCACCUGACCUCAACAAAUACUUUUUAAACAUCCACUAUGUGCCCGGCACUGCUAGACACUGAGACCACAAGGGUGAACCAGCCAUCACAAGGGUGAACCAGCCAUCAGAAGGAACAGAAACCUAACUCAAACCAGAUUAAGCAAAGAGAUGAGUCAACCAGCACAACGGCCGGGUGUGGGCCAGGCCAGGCCAGGGCCAGGGCUCACCCUGGUCCUCAGGGCUCUGCCGUUCCGGCUCGGCUCCCCGGGGCUGGCCCCCUCCGUGCUCAGGCAGCUCAGUCACCUUCCGAGAAAAGAGAAGCUUGUUCCCACUGGCUCUGGCAAGAGAGUUGGGGGAGGACGCCGCCAGGCCUGGCUUGGUGCCUGUGCCCUCCCCUGAACCAAUCACUGAGGCCACGGGAAUGAAAUCCCUCAUCACCGGGCCUGGGGCCAGGGUCAGACCAGAAUUGGGGCCUUCCUAGGGGAAGGGAUGCUGGGCCCACCACCAGCAGAGUGGUAGCAAGUGUGUCCUUUGGGUCCAGCUGUCUUGAAUCCUGACUCCCUCCCACAAACUGUGUCACCUUCAUCUUCCCGUGCUGUUUUCUCAUCUACAAAGUGAUAAUAGUACCUCUGCAUAAGACUGUUGUGAGGAUUAAAUGAGUUAAUGUGUCAAGUGCCUAGAACAGUGCGUGGCACGUAGUCGAGUGCUAUGUGGGCCUGAUGACUACUGCAGACGGGCCUGCGCAGCUGUGUGCCAGCGCAUUCAUGACUUCAUUCCAAGGGGAGUAAACA